rnacentral:tRNA from 1 species
CAGGGAGACAACAAAAUGUUUAAUAUUAUUAUUUUGUCACCUUAGGUCGAUCGGUAUCUCACGUUUUUGAUUUAUUAAAAAUUUCAUUUCCUAAGUUUUUCUAGGUCACACCCAUUAUUUUUCCUGGGCCAUUAGCUCAGGUGGUUAGAGCGCACCCCUGAUAAGGGUGAGGUCCCUGGUUCAAGUCCAGGAUGGCCCAUAUCUCUAUGUUGGGGGUAUAGCUCAGUUGGUAGAGCGCCUGCUUUGCAAGCAGGAUGUCAGCGGUUCGAGUCCGCUUACCUCCACUGAUUACCACCUCUUCCAUAAUCGGUAGAAAGGAAAUUUUUUGAGUUGUGAUCAAAUUCUGAAAGAAUCUAGCUUCCUAAUGAAAUCAUUAAGAUGCUGGACUCAUUGAAUUAAUUUCAUUGUUUUCAGAGAACCUUGACAACUGCAUAGAUUAUUUUUAAAGACAAUAAGCAUCUUUAAUGAUGCAGAUUUAUUAUUUGUGCAAAUGCAUUAAUAACAAUUCUAUUAAGCUGAUGCUUCAAUAUUUGAAGUUAUU